rnacentral:miRNA from 1 species
GCAGACACAUUCCAGCCAAUCAGCAGCAGACCCUCCCUCCCAGACCCUCCCACCUCCUGGACAGCAUCCAUUUUACAUUCAUUGUGAAGCUGCAUUCUUAGUGAGCUGUCCAGGAGGUGGGAGGGUCUGGGAAGGAGGGUCUGCUGCUGAUUGGCUGGAAUGUGUGUG